rnacentral:pre_miRNA from 1 species
GGGCGAGCGCAGGAUCGUGGCCUGUGUCCCCUGGCACCCUGGGACCCAGGGCCUGUGCUGCUGGAAUUACGCUCCUGGAGCCCCGCAGUCCUCU